rnacentral:rRNA from 1 species
CAAGGAAUUUUCGUCAAUGGGCGCAAGCCUGAACGAGCAACGCCGCGUGCAGGAUGACGGCCUUCGGGUUGUAAACUGCUUUUGGGGGGGACGAUGAUGACGGUACCCCCUGAAUAAGGCUCGGCUAACUCUGUGCCAGCAGCCGCGGUAAUACAGAGGAGCCAAGCGUUGCCCGGAUUGACUGGGCGUAAAGCGCACGCAGGCGGUCGCGCGCGUGGGGUGGGAAAUCUGGCCGCUUAACGGCCAGGCGCCAUCCCAUACGGCGCGACUGGAGCCUUGCAGAGGUCGGUGGAAUUGCCGGUGUAGUGGUGAAAUGCGUAGAGAUCGGCAGGAACACCCAGGGGGAAACCAGCCGACUGGGCAAGCGCUGACGCUGAGGUGCGAGAGCGUGGGGAGCGAAC